AGUGAACGCUGGCGGUAGGCCUAACACAUGCAAGUCGAACGGCGGCACAGUAAGAGCUUGCUCUUACGGGUGGCGAGUGGCGGACGGGUGAGGAAUACAUCGGAAUCUACUAUUUCGUGGGGGAUAACGUAGGGAAACUUACGCUAAUACCGCAUACGACCUACGGGUGAAAGCAGGGGAUCUUCGGACCUUGCGCGAUUGAAUGAGCCGAUGUCGGAUUAGCUAGUUGGCGGGGUAAAGGCCCACCAAGGCGACGAUCCGUAGCUGGUCUGAGAGGAUGAUCAGCCACACUGGAACUGAGACACGGUCCAGACUCCUACGGGAGGCAGCAGUGGGGAAUAUUGGACAAUGGGCGCAAGCCUGAUCCAGCCAUACCGCGUGGGUGAAGAAGGCCUUCGGGUUGUAAAGCCCUUUUGUUGGGAAAGAAAAGCAGCAGGUUAAUACCCCGCUGUUCUGACGGUACCCAAAGAAUAAGCACCGGCUAACUUCGUG
rnacentral:rRNA from 1 species